rnacentral:rRNA from 1 species
UACGGAGGGGGCUAGCGUUGUUCGGAAUUACUGGGCGUAAAGCGCACGUAGGCGGCUUUGUAAGUUAGAGGUGAAAGCCCAGGGCUCAACCCUGGAAUUGCCUUUAAGACUGCAUCGCUUGAACAUCGGAGAGGUAAGUGGAAUUCCGAGUGUAGAGGUGAAAUUCGUAGAUAUUCGGAAGAACACCAGUGGCGAAGGCGACUUACUGGACUGGUAUUGACGCUGAGGUGCGAAAGCGUGGGGAGCAAACAGG